GGAAACUUCUUCGAUCUGAACAUCGGAAAACUGGCCUGAAUGCCACUUCAAUCUGAAUAUCGGAAAAUUGGCCUGAAUGCCACUUCGAUCUGAAUAUCGGAAAAUUGGCCUGAAUGCCACAAGUUGCAUCGACCUGAACGUCAGAAACUUCUUCGAUCUGAACAUCGGAAAACUGGCAUGAACGCCUGUCAUACCCCAAAAUUUGCCCAUUAAUAUUUCAAGACAUUUUUUUCAGGGCACUCCGACUCAUUUUUAUGACACUGAUCUCAAAGGAUUGAAGGCCCAGCUCACGAAUGGCCCAAUCCAGAAAAUGGCCCGAACUGGCCUGUUCGCUACACGUUCGCUACACGCUCGCCUAGCGAAAGUUCGCUACACGCUCGCCUAGCGAACGUUCGCUACACGUUCGCUACACGCUCGCCUAGCGAAGCUGACAGAUAACAGAAAAUUCUGGGCUUCACUCUGAGCCCAUUAGGUCACAAAAAGAGCAUUAUAAAUACCAGCACUUCAGUAAUGAAAAGAGGACGAAAACAGAAGAAGACGGACGGAAACCCUAGCAUAGAAACCCUGGAGAGUAGCCCAGAGAAGUCGGAGUGAAG
rnacentral:lncRNA from 1 species